GUUACCAAUUGUUCACUUGAUCGCCAGUCCAAGCGAAAAGGAUAAAUUGAACUUCAGCAUACGUUACCGUAGUUUACUCAAGUCAUAGUAAUCGGUUAUAAACAAUAGUUUCGGGUGAAACUUAGUUAACCUACGUUCUUUUUCUUAAACAUAGUAGAACUAAUGACACAAACGUUGGCUGGCUAAUGUGUUUAGUUAGUACUGUACAACCACACUAGAUCGCUGAUUAGAAGCUGGCAAUUGCAAUUAAUCUAAAAACAUGUUUUCUAUAAAUGAACAGUGAAUACACUAAAUGAACAAGAGAUUCAGAUGGUGGAGUUUGUCAAUUGAGGCGUGGUCAACACGUCGAUGCGUCGAUCAUUAUAAACGGUGUCGUCACAAUAGAGCCUACUGACAACCGUAUGAUCGUGGUCACAUUUCGUUAUGCAUUCAUUUGUUGUAUGAGACACGGACAGCUUGUACACAUGAGUAACAUGUUUUCUGUGUGGUUUUCAGACAGUAUUCACUCCCAAGACCAAUUGGAUGGUGAGUAUGGACUCCAAGACCAAUGGGAUGGUGAGGAAGGACUCCCAAGACAAAUUGGAUGGUGAGUAUGGACUCCAGGGACUACUGGGAUGCUAUAUACAGAGGUCAAGGACCAAUGGAAUGGCGAGUAUGAAAUCUCAGGGUCAAUUGGCUUAAGCUUGAUCCCUGCUGGGAUGAUACAUUUCCCCUGGAGUCCCGCAUAGGUAGGUUCAAUGUGUUCUUCCAACUGAUCUGUACAGUAUUGGGGGAGAACAUUGUGUAAAAUGUAAUGUUACUACAUGCCAUUGUUCCCUCCAAGUUUUACAGCUUUCCCAGACAGGUGUUUGGCCUAGUAGGUGCUACCUAGGGAAAUUCUAGGGUCACCUCCACCUCCGUGCCCAGGGGAUGACCUUGAACUAGGUCAGUUUAGAGGUUGGAGAACCCCACUGGUCUGGACCACCACCCUGGAUCAAGUUCCAGACGUUGUCAAACCAUCCGUUCGACAGUCGCUGAAUCAUCAGAAUUCCAGAUGAGUGGUGUCAGGAACAGAGGGCAAAGGAGAAGCAGUAGGGAUGAGUCGAUGUAAUGAGCAAUCAGAGGCCUGUCAACACCAUUGUACGGUGGGGACAUCAGCCCUUGAACUGCAUCUCAGGACUACCUGGCUGAACUACUCCUAGUUGUCCAAAGUCCACCUGACAACUCCUGCUGUCACUGCCCACAGCCCACCUGAUCGUCACUGAUCUGGAUUCUGCAUAGAUUCUGCCAGAAGAGGACUGGCCACCCGUCAGAGCCUGGCUCCUCUCUAGGUUUCUUCCUAAGAUACAAGACUACCAGGGAGUUUUUCCUAGCCACUGUUACUUGCUCUUUGGGGUUUUAGGAUGGAUAUCAGCAUAAGCACCUUGUGACAUACACUAAUGUCUGGGGCUUUGUAAAAUAGAAUUGAAGUAAAUAAAUGCAAACAAACGGCUCCA